rnacentral:tRNA from 1 species
GGGUCAGUAGCUCAGUCGGUGAGCAUUAGAUUGAAGCUCUAAGUGUCGGCGGUUCGAUUCCGUCCUGACCCACCA